UCAGGAUGAACGCUGGCGGCGUGCCUAAUACAUGCAAGUCGAGCGAACAGAUAAGGAGCUUGCUCCUUUGACGUUAGCGGCGGACGGGUGAGUAACACGUGGGUAACCUACCUAUAAGACUGGAAUAACUCCGGGAAACCGGGGCUAAUGCCGGAUAACAUGUUGAACCGCAUGGUUCUACAGUGAAAGACGGUCUUGCUGUCACUUAUAGAUGGACCCGCGCCGUAUUAGCUAGUUGGUGGGGUAACGGCCUACCAAGGCGACGAUACGUAGCCGACCUGAGAGGGUGAUCGGCCACACUGGAACUGAGACACGGUCCAGACUCCUACGGGAGGCAGCAGUAGGGAAUCUUCCGCNAUGGGCGAAAGCCUGACGGAGCAACGCCGCGUGAGUGAUGAAGGUCUUCGGAUCGUAAAGCUCUGUUGUUAGG
rnacentral:rRNA from 1 species